rnacentral:rRNA from 1 species
ACUCCUACGGGAGGCAGCAGUGAGGAAUAUUGGACAAUGGGUGGAAGCCUGAUCCAGCCAUCCCGCGUGCAGGAAGACGGCCCUAUGGGUUGUAAACUGCUUUUAUCUGGGGAUAAACCUACUUACGUGUAAGUAGCUGAAGGUACCAGAAGAAUAAGCACCGGCUAACUCCGUGCCAGCAGCCGCGGUAAUACGGAGGGUGCAAGCGUUAUCCGGAUUUAUUGGGUUUAAAGGGUCCGUAGGCGGACUGAUAAGUCAGUGGUGAAAUCCGACAGCUUAACUGUCGAACUGCCAUUGAUACUGUUAGUCUUGAGUAAGGUUGAAGUGGCUGGAAUAAGUAGUGUAGCGGUGAAAUGCAUAGAUAUUACUUAGAACACCAAUUGCGAAGGCAGGUCACUAAGUCUUAACUGACGCUGAUGGACGAAAGCGUGGGGAGCGAACAGGAUUAGAAACCCUUGUAGUCCCA